rnacentral:rRNA from 1 species
UUAGAGGCAAACGGGUGGACCCGCAAUACGUCGACCCGGGGGAUUCAACCAGGCCGUGCGUUCGGGACGCGUGAGGGUUAUGCGGAGCUGUAAAGCCCGUGCCUUCGCGUAGGUCUCCGGGCGGACUGGUGCACUUUCCUCGGGUUGAUUGCCACGACCGGCUCUCCGUGCGGCCACAAGCCUUUGCUGGGAAGGUGACCGUCGGCCUCCGCGCCGGCGGUGUUAUAGACCAGCUUGUUCGUUGAGCUCGUCGGAGGGCCGAGGAAGUGUUGCCGUUUCUCAGCCACCCUCCGGCCAUCCUUGCUCGUCACGACUGGGGUGAACUGCUUCGUCAGUGCUCUCCCGACCGCGAGCGUAGGAAGGGCUGGUACGGUGCGAGAAAGCUUCGGGCCAGUGGCGAAUCGGUCGGUCCUCCACCCGACCCGUCUUGAA